GGGGCUCGCAAGACCUCCCGCUCAAGGGGCGGCCGAUGGCAGAUUAGCUAGUUGGUGGGGUAAAGGCCUACCAAGGCGACGAUCUGUAGCUGGUCUGAGAGGACGACCAGCCACACUGGGACUGAGACACGGCCCAGACUCCUACGGGAGGCAGCAGUGGGGAAUUUUGGACAAUGGGCGCAAGCCUGAUCCAGCAAUGCCGCGUGUGUGAAGAAGGCCUUCGGGUUGUAAAGCACUUUUGUCCGGAAAGAAAACUUCCUGGUUAAUACCCGGGGAGGAUGACGGUACCGGAAGAAUAAGCACCGGCUAACUACGUGCCAGCAGCCGCGGUAAUACGUAGGGUGCAAGCGUUAAUCGGAAUUACUGGGCGUAAAGCGUGCGCAGGCGGUUCGUUAAGACAGAUGUGAAAUCCCCGGGCUUAACCUGGGAACUGCAUUUGUGACUGGCGGACUGGAGUAUGGCAGAGGGGGGUAGAAUUCCACGUGUAGCAGUGAAAUGCGUAGAGAUGUGGAGGAAUACCGAUGGCGAAGGCAGCCCCCUGGGCCAAUACUGACGCUCAUGC
rnacentral:rRNA from 1 species